rnacentral:lncRNA from 10 species
UUCACCAUGUUGCCCAGGCUGGUCUCAAACUUCUGGCUUCAAACUAUCUGCCUGCCUCAGCCUCCCAAAGUGCUGGGAUUACAGGCGUGAGCACCGUGCCCUGCCUCUCUUCAAGGACUCUCUUUGCUACAUCGGCAUCACCUGGGAACGUGGUAGGGCUACAGAAUCUUGGGCCCCACCUUGGACCUACCUAAUCGUCAUCUUAUUCAUUGGUGUUCCCUUCGCCAGAGACCAGGUCGAUUGUCUUGGAGAAUGUCCCACAUUCAGCAUUUGUCUGCAUGCUUCCUUAUGGUGCCAUGCUCUUGUCCCUCUAUUCCAAGUGAGUGGAAGUUAGCUGGAGAAGUUUGACUAAAUUCAGGAUCAAGUUUUUGUGACAAGAAUAUUUCCUAGCUGGUGCUAUGUGCAUUUGCAUGGCAUCAGGAGGCAGAUGAUAUCUAGUUGGAAACAAGACUUUGGAUUUUACAAGCUAUGCUUUUGUAAGGAAAGGAACACAUUUAAAGCCUUGAGCGUGUAUUUGCAGAACCACGAGAUAACGGCAAAGAAAGUCCUUGGACACAGGCUCUGUGAGCAUCACAUCUCUCCAACUGGACCCGUGGGCGCUGCAGUGAGCAUAUAUGUCCUAAAGGGAUAUGGCACCAACCUUGUGAAUUGUUUGCUUGUGUUUUUCUAACAUUUCUACUACUUAGUUUCAAUUACAUUUUUCCUAGCAUGGAGUAAUAAAAACCUUUUAUAAAGGACAAUUUCAAGCAUAUUUUUGAAAAUUAAUUUCAAAAGUAGACAGUAUAGUUUUAUGAAUUUCUAUGUCCCCACUAGCCAGUUCCAACAAUUAUUCCC